GAUGAACGCUGGCGGCGUGCCUAAUACAUGCCAGUCGAGCGAACAGACGAGGAGCUUGCUCCUCUGACGUUAGCGGCGGACGGGUGAGUAACACGUGGAUAACCUACCUAUAAGACUGGGAUAACUUCGGGAAACCGGAGCUAAUACCGGAUAAUAUAUUGAACCGCAUGGUUCAAUAGUGAAAGACGGUUUUGCUGUCACUUAUAGAUGGAUCCGCGCCGCAUUAGCUAGUUGGUAAGGUAACGGCUUACCAAGGCAACGAUGCGUAGCCGACCUGAGAGGGUGAUCGGCCACACUGGAACUGAGACACGGUCCAGACUCCAACGGGAGGCAGCAGUAGGGAAUCUUCCGCAAUGGGCGAAAGCUUGACGGAGCAACGCCGCGUGAGUGAUGAAGGUCUUCGGAUCGUAAAACUCUGUUAUUAGGGAAGAACAAAUGUGUAAGUAACUAUGCACGUCUUGACGGUACCUAAUCAGAAAGCCACGGCUAACUACGUG
rnacentral:rRNA from 1 species